CAGAGAGAGAGGAUGCAUGUACGUACGAGGAUCUCAGCGAUGACGCGGGGCUGGCGGAAGGGCCUGAGCACAAGGACGAGCAAGCGGGUGGUGACGACGAUGACGGCCGUCUGGAGGAUGAAGAGCGGGAGGGAGAACUCGAGCGGGUUGAACCCUUGCCAGAUGCCGUUGGUGGUUAUCAUCAUGGGCGAGUAGCACACCACGGUGCUGGACGCCUUGGGCAGCGUCGUCGCGUUGCGCAUCUGCUCCGUGAUGUUGGGCGGCAGCUCUUCGGUGAUCGGCGUGGCGUCCAUCUUGGCGGCUCCUCGCCGGUCAG
rnacentral:misc_RNA from 1 species